GAAGGAUGGAAAAAUUAUUAAAUAAAAAUGGUGGAAAGAAAGUAAAGAAGAGAGAGAAUGAGAAAAUAAGAGGGAAGCAAACACAGAGAGAAUCCAAAAUAUAUUUUUUUUUUUUUUUUUUCUCGUCGAAUUUUCUCAUUCUCUGUCUAGCUUCUCUUCUUCUUGAUCGUAUCUGAGAGAUAGCCGAAGCCGCAACCCCGCCGCCAAACUGAGUGAGGGUGAGUACAUAUCUUAGUCGAUCGCCGCUCGCCAAGAUCAACCAGUCGGUGCCGAAGGUGCUGUUUAUUCCCAUCCUCGCUGCUACGGUUUACUGGAAGCGCCUUGCAGCUGAGGUUGAGGAAAGGAAAUGGCGGCUGCCUGUGAAAUUACAGCAACCGAGUUUUUGUGGGGUACCCGAAGGCAAAAUCUGCUUUUGCAGAGGCACUCCCAUGCGCAGAAAAGUCGUUUGCUUUGGGGUACAUUCCAUGUGCGAAAACCAAAACUGGGUCUAUCUAAUAGAGGUACUUCACUGAGGUGCCGCGCCCAAGCAAAGCCCAGAGCUGUGGUUUCUGGUGGUGUUACCAGUCCGCUGGAUGAAAAAUCAAACCUUGUUCAAAAGCCCACUGCAGAGGUUAUACAUUUUUUUCGUAUUCCAUUGAUCCAGAAGAGUGCGACGGCUGAACUUCUCAAGUCGGUUCAAACGAAAAUCUCGAACCAGAUUGUUGAUUUGAAGACUGAGCAGUGUUUUAAUAUUGGGCUUGAGGGAGGGCUGUCAGGUCAAAAGCUUUUAGUUCUCAAGUGGCUUCUUCAAGAAACUUAUGAGCCUGAAAAUUUGGGGACAGAGAGCUUUCUUGAUCAGGAGAGGCGAGAUGGGAUCAAUACGGUGAUAAUUGAGGUUGGACCGAGGUUGUCUUUUACUACUGCAUGGUCUGCUAAUGCUGUGUCAAUUUGCCGAGCGUGUGGGUUGACAGAGGUGACCAGAAUGGAACGAUCAAGGAGGUACUUGUUAUAUGUCAAGGCUGGUAGUGCAUUGCAAGAUCAUCAGAUUAAUGAGUUUGCUGCUAUGGUCCAUGAUCGGAUGACCGAGUGUGUUUACACCCAGAAGCUCACAUCUUUCGAGACUAGUGUUGUUCCAGAGGAAGUUCGGUAUGUACCUGUGAUGGAGAGGGGGCGGAAGGCAUUGGAGGAUAUUAAUGAGGAAAUGGGUUUAGCAUUUGAUGAGCAAGAUUUACAGUAUUACACUAGGCUGUUCAGGGAAGACAUCAAGCGGGAUCCUACAACGGUGGAAUUGUUUGAUAUCGCACAAUCUAACAGUGAGCAUAGUAGGCACUGGUUUUUUACUGGGAAAAUUGUUAUUGAUGGGCAACGAAUGAGUCGGUCUCUCAUGCAGAUUGUGAAGAGCACUUUACAGGCAAAUCCAAAUAACUCUGUCAUUGGUUUCAAGGACAACUCUAGUGCAAUCAAGGGCUUUCUUGUGAAACAAUUGCGACCAGUUCAGCCGGGUUUAACAUGUCCCUUAGACACAAGUAUUCGUGAUCUUGAUAUUUUAUUUACCGCUGAGACCCAUAAUUUCCCAUGUGCAGUGGCGCCUUACCCUGGUGCAGAGACUGGUGCAGGGGGCCGCAUUAGGGACACCCAUGCAACAGGAAGGGGGUCUUUUGUUGUUGCUGCUACAGCUGGUUAUUGUGUUGGGAAUCUUAAUAUUGAAGGGUCUUAUGCUCCAUGGGAAGAUCCAUCAUUUACAUACCCAUCCAACUUGGCUUCACCUCUUCAAAUCCUCAUUGAUGCUAGCAAUGGCGCGUCUGACUAUGGGAACAAAUUUGGAGAGCCCUUGAUUCAGGGCUAUACCAGAACUUUUGGAAUGAGACUUCCAAGUGGGGAAAGACGGGAAUGGUUAAAGCCAAUCAUGUUCAGUGCAGGGAUUGGGCAGAUUGAUCACAUCCACAUAACAAAAGGAGAGCCUGAUAUUGGAAUGUUAGUAGUUAAGAUUGGAGGCCCAGCAUAUCGCAUAGGAAUGGGAGGUGGAGCUGCAUCUAGUAUGGUUAGUGGUCAGAAUGAUGCUGAGCUUGAUUUUAAUGCAGUACAGCGUGGAGAUGCAGAGAUGGCACAGAAAUUGUACCGUGUUGUCCGAGCUUGCAUUGAAAUGAGGGAAGAUAACCCAAUAAUCAGCAUACAUGACCAGGGUGCUGGUGGGAAUUGUAACGUCGUUAAGGAAAUAAUAUACCCAAAGGGUGCUCAGAUUGAUAUUCGGUCAAUUGUAGUUGGUGACCACACAAUGUCUGUGUUGGAGAUAUGGGGUGCAGAAUAUCAGGAGCAAGAUGCAAUCUUAGUGAAGCCUGAAAGCCGCAGCCUAUUGCAAUCAAUCUGUGAAAGAGAAAGGGUCUCUAUGGCUGUUAUUGGAACAAUAAAUGGUGAGGGACGAAUUGUUUUAGUUGAUAGCAAGGCUAUUCAAAGAUGUCAUUCGAGUGGACUUCCUCCACCUCCUCCUGCUGUGGAUCUUGAGCUCGAGAAAGUACUUGGGGACAUGCCUAAAAAAGUCUUUGAAUUUAAGCGGAUUGAUCAUGAACGAGAACCACUUGAUAUUGCACCUGGGAUCACUGUAAUGGAAUCUCUGAAGAGGGUACUGAGACUUCCAUCAGUCUGUUCAAAACGCUUCUUGACAACAAAAGUUGAUCGGUGUGUAACAGGUCUUGUGGCACAGCAGCAAACUGUUGGUCCCUUGCAAAUCACCCUUUCUGAUGUUGCAGUCAUCUCUCAGACUUACACUGACAUGACUGGAGGUGCAUGUGCGAUUGGGGAACAGCCAAUCAAGGGUCUGUUGGAUCCAAAAGCAAUGGCAAGACUGGCUGUUGGAGAAGCAUUGACAAAUCUUGUUUGGGCAAAGGUAACUGCUCUAUCUGAUGUUAAGUCAAGUGCGAACUGGAUGUAUGCUGCCAAACUUGAAGGCGAAGGAGCAGCCAUGUACGAUGCUGCUAUGGCUCUUUCGGAAGCAAUGAUUGAGCUUGGUAUUGCUAUUGAUGGAGGGAAGGACAGUCUUUCCAUGGCAGCCCAUGCAUCAGGUGAGGUUGUCAAGGCUCCUGGAAAUCUUGUAAUCAGUGUUUAUGUCACAUGUCCUGAUAUAACCAAAACAGUGACCCCGGAUUUGAAGCUUGAAGAUGAGGGAAUUCUGCUUCACAUUGAUUUGUCAAAGGGAAAGCGGCGGUUAGGUGGUUCUGCUCUAGCUCAGGUUUUUGAUCAAGUAGGAGAUGAGUCUCCUGAUCUUGAUGAUGUUCCUUACCUUAAAAGGGCUUUUGAGGGAGUUCAGGAGCUCCUUGCUGAUGGGUCGAUCUCUGCUGGUCACGAUAUCAGUGAUGGUGGACUGAUUGUAUGUGUGCUGGAGAUGGCAUUUGCUGGGAAUUGUGGUAUUGCCUUGGAUUUGACUUCACAUGGGAAUAGCCUCUUUGAAACACUAUUUGCAGAAGAACUUGGCCUUGUUCUAGAGGUUAGCAGGACAAACUUGGACAUGAUAAUGGGAAAGCUUCAUGGCGUUGGUGUUUCAGCUGAGAUCAUUGGACAAGUAACUGCGACUCCCAUGAUAGAAUUAAAGGUUGAUGAUGUUACUCAUUUAAAUGAGGACACUUCUUAUCUUAGGGACAUGUGGGAGGAAACCAGUUUUCAGCUGGAAAAAUUCCAAAGAUUGGCUUCUUGUGUGGAUUUAGAGAAAGAAGGGUUGAAGAGUAGACAUGAACCUUCAUGGAAAUUGUCCUUCACUCCUGCAAUUACAGAUAAGAAAUAUAUGACUGCAAUUUCAAAACCGAAAGUGGCUGUGAUUCGAGAGGAAGGCAGCAAUGGGGAUAGAGAAAUGUCUGCUGCAUUUUAUGCUGCCGGUUUUGAACCAUGGGAUGUUACCAUGUCAGACCUUCUCAAUGGAGUCAUCUCUCUGCAGGAGUUCCGUGGGAUUGUGUUUGUAGGUGGUUUUAGCUAUGCUGAUGUACUUGAUUCUGCCAAAGGUUGGUCGGCUUCUAUACGAUUCAAUCAACCUCUUCUAAAUCAAUUUCAAGAGUUUUACAAACGGGAAGACACUUUUAGUCUUGGGGUUUGCAAUGGGUGUCAGCUAAUGGCCCUGUUGGGGUGGGUCCCUGGGCCCCAAGUUGGGGGUGUUUUUGGCAAUGGUGGAGACCCUUCACAACCAAGGUUCAUCCACAAUGAGUCAGGAAGGUUUGAAUGUCGCUUCACAAGUGUGACAAUAAAGGACUCUCCUGCUAUAAUGUUCAAAGGAAUGGAGGGCAGCACAUUGGGUGUGUGGGCUGCCCAUGGUGAGGGAAGAGCUUAUUUUCCUGAUGGUAGUGUUCUGGAUAGUGUGAUUGAUUCAAAUUUGGCCCCAAUUAGAUAUUGUGAUGAUGAUGGGAAGCCAACAGAAGUCUAUCCUUUCAAUCUGAAUGGAUCUCCCCUAGGAGUAGCAGCGAUUUGUUCUCCGGAUGGGAGGCAUCUUGCUAUGAUGCCUCAUCCAGAGCGAUGCUUCUUGAUGUGGCAGUUCCCAUGGUAUCCGAAGCAGUGGAAUGUGGACAAGGCAGGCCCCAGUCCUUGGUUGCGAAUGUUCCAAAAUGCCAGGGAGUGGUGCUCUUGAGGAGUAAGCUUGAUAGCUGGAGAGGUAAGGUCUUUUGUUGUCAGUGAGAAGGCUAGCAGAGCUUUUGGAGGUUAGGCUUUGCAAUCCUAAAGAGUGUCAGCUGGCUUAUCGGUGAAGACUUAGAGCAAUUUUAAAAGAGUACUAAGAUUAAAUCUUUGCUCAUCUAUUGUGAAGUUUGAUUGCAAAUAAGUAAAAUAAUGGUUCAAUUUCCUAGUUCUUUACAUUUCUCUAGAUUCAUCAUUCUCAGUUACUGCCUUAAUCUUAAAUGUGCAAUUUUUAUUUUCCCUUCCCUGUGAAUUGUCAGGUGCCAGAACUUUUAUGAGUGUGAAGGGCAAGAAGAAGUUUUCCUCCUGAUGUGAUGCUAUGAGAUAUUCUAGGUGCUCGAUUGCUUCUUGCUGGCCUAAAUAAAUAUGUUCUUUGAGCAUACAUGAUGGUACAUUUGAAAGUCAGACGCAUGAUUGUGAAAUUUGUUUGAAGUGAAUUGUUGAAAUCUACCUCCUUAUUUGGUUUUCUGGUGUCUUUAAUGGUGUUGGAAUAAUUUAUGAAACAAGGAGAGCCAACUUUACCUAUUUUGUUUUUUACUGAAGACAGUUUUGGUAGAGGAAAGCAUUGAUUCUGUUGGAUGUUGGUGAUACUGUAAUAUCGGUAUGCUAUGUUAUUCUGUAAUUUGAAGACUAUGGUGUAUUGACAUUAUUUGAGUAAA